CACGUAGGGCGCAAGCGUUGUCCGGAAUUAUUGGGCGUAAAGAGCUCGUAGGCGGCGCGGUAAGUCGGGUGUGAAAUCUCGGGGCUUAACUCCGAAACUGCAUUCGAUACUGCCGUGCUUGAGGACUGGAGAGGAGACUGGAAUUUACGGUGUAGCGGUGAAAUGCGUAGAUAUCGUAAGGAAGACCAGUGGCGAAGGCGGGUCUCUGGACAGUUCCUGACGCUGAGGCACGAAAGCGUGGGGAGCAAACAGG
rnacentral:rRNA from 1 species